AUUGUAGCCCUCCUUGCCAACAUGGUGGCACGUGCUUGUCUGGGAAUCUCUGCACUUGUGCUUAUGGCUUUGUAGGACCAAGGUGUGAAACAUUGGUCUGUAACAGGCAUUGUGAAAAUGGAGGCAAAUGUGUUGGACCAGAUAUUUGUCAGUGCAAGCCUGGCUGGUAUGGACCCACGUGUAGU
rnacentral:lncRNA from 14 species